AGUGACCUUACCAGACAAACCUGCCUCAUUUGCCAGCUCUUUCCUAUUUGGGACCUGACGUCCCUAAUUUUGAUGCGUUACAGGCGCCAGAACACGUUCAUCAUCAACGUGACUGAUGCGAUUGGUGUUAACGGACACGAUCCCAGCGUCAGGAGUUUCCUUGCAAGUCAAAUCUUAAAGACGGAAGCGCUUAGACUAACGAGACAUGUUUACACACGCGUAUUUUGCACCUUACAGUUCAGUGUUCCGUGUUUACUCGGCUUCAAUAUAGGUUUGGGCAUUCUAAAUUAGCUUUCAAAAGUAAUUGUUUGUUUUUUUUUAAUUACCCAAGUUCAUUCAGAUUUCAUAACUUUUUUUUCGUUAUACAUUGAAAAUCAAGCUUUAUUCUAUGUGCUUAAAAGUUCCAAAAUUGUGUCAGCACUAAUGAUAACCAUCAACCUACUGGGUAAAGUUUAAAAACAAACUCGAGAAGGCUGACAAUAAAAGAGCUCGCCUAUAGGUUAUGGCUUUUACUAACCAAACCUUUAAAACAAACCAAAAAACCCUUACCAGAUUUAUCAUCUAAUAAAUUAAUAGGCCCAUUGGCAAACCCCAAGCGGCCACCCUUUCUCUCUCCCCUCGACGAAUGGGCCCCUCUCUAAGGUUUUUUUCCGGUCACCCGAAGGGAAUGCAGCCCAUUCGUCCCUCCCCCACUUAUCAAACACUUAAGUGCAAACACAUGCCCUCCCACCCAGCUGCUCAUCUGCCUUUCCACCAGGAGCUUUGCUAUUUUAAAGGCAAAGUUUGGGCUCAGCUCCUAGGCCUUCUUCCCCGAAGGCCCUAGGACUGGGCUUCUCUGUUGGAAUCCACGGUAGGCAGACAGGCGGCUGCGUUGCCAGAUGGGAAACAGAGCCUUUAACAAAGGGCUGCAAACGCCAGCACUUCAAAAGGAUCUGACCUGGCAGUCUAUUAGCAGGGGCAGCUGCUUUGAUAGAAUUCUGGAACCACCAACGCUGUCAAAACCUGCACUGCUCUCGGGUAUUGCACACUCGCUUGUAAAAACAGCAGAAAACAUCAGAGAAAUACUCCCCAAACAUCCAUUUGUCAGCCCUUUAGAAAGUAUGAAUCCUGCUCUCUUGGGCCAUUGAUCUCCUCCUUCGUUUCCUCUUGGAAAGCAGAGGCUGCUUCUGGAGGACAGUGUGCGGGAGUGUGCUUUAAAAGAUACAAAUGACAACAGAGGCUUUGUAUGCUUGCUCUGAUGCUGAGGGUUUGAGGGUUUGCAUGGCCCGUCCAUGCAAAAGUACCAGUGCAUUUCCGUUUUUGCCUUGGGCCGGAACUGCACAUACCCCACCUCUCUGCUUCCCACGUGCAAACCUGCAGGCUCUGAUGAUUCGGGCACCAAGUAGUCACGGGUGAGGCUCCCAGGAGGGUCAGUGGUAAAGUUACCUCGGGGAGAAAACUGUUAUAAAUGAAGAUUCCUAGGCCAGAUGGGGGCCUCAGAGCAAACUUGCAGAAGGACGGACAGGAGACUACGUUUUUUUGACGGUCCGAAAUAACUUGAAAUUAGUAUAAGAAAUGCAACUGACGUAACUGUGUGCAAGAUGUGGGAAUGAUGGGGCUUUUAGGGGAGAUAGUGGGGUUCGUGGGGUCCAGAGCCGACGGCCAGGAAAGAAUUCUUGAAAACGUCUUUGGUGCAAAAUGGUGAUCUUGUUAAAGCAUGGGGACAGGACCCUUGGGCAGGAAGAGCUGCCCCGGGGCCUUGAGAGACUAGUUAUAUACUAUGGGCCUGCGGGAGGUAAAGUCCAGGGGAAGUUUCCAGUGAGAUUUUUAUAUGCUAAAGGAGACUCACAGGAUUUUGGAGGCCUAGCUAUUGUCAAGCUAGGGUUGUUUUUGCCUCUAGCAAAGCAUUAGCAUUAAGACAGUAAGGAGUUCCCGGAGAAACGUUUUACUCUGCCGGCCUCAAGUAUUUGUCAAUGGGCUACGGGUUCUAAGGAAAUUUAGUUCUAUCUGCCAUUUCCGUCUGCCUUUGUUCCCCACGUUACUACGGAGAGUGAUCUCUAUCAGUUCACCAUUUGUUUUUCCCCUUUCCUUUGUUCUUGGGCAGCCGGGAGUGCACACAUAUCCCACCUGGGGGGGAGGAGGGGCUGUCAGCUUGCCUUAUGCUUCCAGAAACAUCUGGAAGUACUGCAGAUGUGCGACCUGCAAAGACGAUCCCGCCAAGCCACAGUCAGCUGAGCCUGAACAUCGAUGCAUCUGUGCGGUAACAAUCAGGGCCUUUACGUAUGUGAAGUUCGUUUUUGCAUCCACGCUCCCUCCUUUUCUCCCUCCCUCCCAGCUUACCAUCUGGAUUCCACCUUGCACUUUCAGCCUGGGCUGCCCACGGAAGGUUGUCUCGGCUUGACCUUUGCUCUGCCAUUCACGACUGGCCCGCCAUCCCGCUUGAUCCGCUACGCUAACCUCUGGAAGCGGCUCAGGGGGUUUCUCUCACAGACCACUCUUCUCACGAUGCUACUGAAAAGCAGGUUCUCAUUCUGCUUAUCGGGAUGGCUGGGUGAGGCCAUGCAUUUCUAGCAAGCUUCCGGAGAUGUGGAUGCUGCCGGUCAAUGGUUCCUACUUGGAGCAGCAAGGAUGUGCAGUCAAGCUGAAGGAAUUCUACAAUCCUUCAUGUUUCUAUGGAUGAGGCAGCAGAAGAGCUGGGGCAACUUGGGAAGGUCACGGAGGUGGUGGAGGGGAGGAUCAAACCCCGGCAGAUUACACCAUAAACACUUCCUCCAGAGGAGACCCAGAGAUUCAUUUCCUGUCA